rnacentral:rRNA from 1 species
CCUACGGGUGGCAGCAGUGGGGAAUAUUGGUCAAUGGACGAGAGUCUGAACCAGCCAAGUAGCGUGAAGGAUGACUGCCCUAUGGGUUGUAAACUUCUUUUAUAUGGGAAUAAAACGUUCCACGUGUGGGAUUUUGUAUGUACCAUAUGAAUAAGGAUCGGCUAACUCCGUGCCAGCAGCCGCGGUAAUACGGAGGAUCCGAGCGUUAUCCGGAUUUAUUGGGUUUAAAGGGAGCGUAGGUGGAUUGUUAAGUCAGUUGUGAAAGUUUGCGGCUCAACCGUAAAAUUGCAGUUGAAACUGGCAGUCUUGAGUACAGUAGAGGUGGGCGGAAUUCGUGGUGUAGCGGUGAAAUGCUUAGAUAUCACGAAGAACUCCGAUUGCGAAGGCAGUUCACUGGACUGCAACUGACACUGAGGCUCGAAAGUGUGGGUAUCAAACAGGAUUAGAUACCCCAGUAGUC